GAAGGUGCACUUGGAUAAACCAGAGCUUAGCUAAACAUAGCUAUAGCAUCUCCCUUA
rnacentral:tRNA from 1 species